GAGAGCUAAAUGAAUCGAAAGAUUCAUGUUUGGUUCGAGAAGGGAUUAUGGAAAACCCCAAUUAUGACAUCCAUUCUCUCUCACUUCAC
rnacentral:ncRNA from 1 species